AGUGAACGCUGGCGGCGUGCCUAAUACAUGCAAGUCGAACGAAGUGGCGCACGGGCGAGUAAUAUAUAGUUAAUCUGCCCUACACAGAGGAACAACAGCUGGAAACGACUGCUAAUACUUCAUAGUGUAGGUUGAGAGUAUACCGUAUCAGCUAGUUGGUAAGGUAAUGGCUUACCAAGGCUAUGACGCGUAACUGGUCUGAGAGGAUGAUCAGUCACAUUGGAACUGAGACACGGUCCAGACUCCUACGGGAUGCAGCAGUAGGGAGUAUUGCGCAAUGGGGGAAACCCUGACACAGCAACGCCGCGUGGAGGAUGACACUUUUCGGAGCGUAAGCUCCUUUUAACAAGAGAACGGUACCUGAUGAAUAAGCACCGGCUAACUCCGUGCCAGCAGCCGCGGUAAUUC
rnacentral:rRNA from 1 species